rnacentral:rRNA from 1 species
GACGAACCGUCCUAACGUUGUUCGGAAUCACUGGGCUUAAAGGGCGCGUAGGCGGGUUCCCAAGUCGGUGGUGAAAUCUUUCGGCCCAACCGGAAAACAGCCGCCGAUACUGGGAGUCUUGAGGGAGGUAGGGGUCGAUGGAACUUCCGGUGGAGCGGUGAAAUGCGUAGAUAUCGGAAGGAACGCCGGUGGCGAAAGCGAUCGACUGGACCUUUUCUGGCGCUGAGGCGCGAAAGCCAGGGGAGCAAACGGG